AGGUUUUAAAUACCAUUUGUAAAAUCCAGUGUUAUACCCAUGAGAUGAUUGGAUUUUUGGCAAACCCACAGCCUUCAACGGAUUUGAUAAGUCUUUACUGUCUACCGUUUGAGACAGACUAGCCGUACCAUAAGCGGGUACGAUCGCUUUAGAUUUAGAAGCCAUACAUGUUUCUCCUGAAGAGGAGGCCAUACCUUGAAGGGCUUUAAUCACUUCCGGUGAUUGGCUCAG
rnacentral:lncRNA from 1 species